rnacentral:lncRNA from 1 species
UCUGCAGAUAAAUCCCUAACUAGCUCCAAAUGUAUAGCUCUAGUCACACAACAAGAAAACAAUGCUAUAUAAACCUUACUUGGACAUUUUGCACACAACACUUUACAAACAAUGGACCUGCAAAAUCUAUUCCCACAUUAGAAAAGGGUGCAGCUUCCCUAACUCGAAAUCCUGGCAAAUCUGCCGUCUGUGCUACACUAUAUGCUUUUCCCUCUAAUCUUUUACAGGUGACGCAUCUACCUAAAAUCCGCUUCACCAUUUGUCUUCCUUUCACAACCCAAUAUUUUGUCCUUAAUCUUCCUAAGGUUGCCCGUACACCACAAUGAUGCACUUCACUGUGACAUUUCUGGACAAUCAAUUCAGUCAGUCUGUGGUCCUUGGGUAUAAUGAUUGGGUGUUUGGUAUUGAACUCUAACUCAGAAUUAUGUAAUCUACCUUUACAUCUCAGAAUGCCUUCCUCUUCCAUCAAACCUAAACUAUUACUCAGUUGGGUGUACUUUCUAUCUACUUUCAACCCUGCCUGAGACUCUUUAAUCCAUAUAUUCUCUGCCUCAACUAACUCAUUCACUGUCAACUCUCCACUUCGCCUAUCAAUGCCCCUUGCUUUUGCUCGUACAUUAAACCCAAACCUGAGUACCCAAGCUGUUACCCUAAAAAGUCGUUCUGCUGUCCCAUAAUCAUUCAAGUCAAUCACUCUACUUAUACUAGCUGGCUCUGUCACCUUUACAACCAUAACUACAGACUUUCGUUCCUCUUCCAAAACUGUCUUUGUCUUAUCAGUAGCUUCAAAUUUUGGCCACUCAUCUUUUGACUUAGUUAGCCAAUCUGGCCCCACCCACCAUAGCUUGUUAUCUUUCAAUUGUGAAGCAAUUACACCUGUAGACCCAAUGUCAGCAGGAUUUUCAACCCCGGGACAAUGCCCCCAAUCCCCUUUGUUCCUUAGCUUCAAGAUCUCAUUUACUCGGUGGUGGACAAAUUGUUUCCAUUCACCCCUAUUCAUUAUCCAGUAGAGUGCUGUCAUGCUGUCAAGCCAAAACUUGGUACUAUCUAUCCUAACUUGGUUUUCAAGUGACGCUUUUACUGACUUCAUAAUCUGCGCUAACAGCCUCGCUGACAUUAACUCUAACCUGGGAAUACUAGUUGCUUUUAAGGGAGCUACUAUUGCCUUUGAUGUCAAUAAGCGGACAUAAACCCCUACAUUAGUACAAUACACAAAAUAUACAACUGCACAGUAGGCCUUCUCGCCCGCAUCGCCAAAUCCAUGUAAGGUACACUCCAAAAUUAAACAUCUUCUGCACGAUAUUGAUAUAUACAGCGAGGAAUGGUAAUUUCCUUAGUUUCUAUCAAAUCCCUGUACCAACCCUCCCACUUAUGCAGUAACUCCUCAGUGAAGUUUUCAUCCCAAUCAACUUUAUCCUUACAUACUUCUUGGAACAAUAUUUUGGCACGUACAAUCACUGGACUAACUAUUCCGAGAGGAUCAAAUAAACUUGCCAAAACACUCAGUAGAUUUCGCUUUGCAGAUGAUAAGGUUUUUGCCCUUUCCCCCACUCUCGCAAUCUCAAACUUAAACUCAUCGCUCUUGUUAUCCCAUGCCUGCCCUAACACUUUAUGGCAUUUUGAUUCACAUCCUGUUACUCCAAGGGAUAGUUUUGCAUAUGAUUGAUGAUCCUCAACAAUGUGUUUUAUCUUACAUUGGUCUGUCUCAUGCACCUUAAUUUUACUUUCCAAUAGAUUACUGUUAGUUGACCACUUUCUUAGCCCGAAUCCCCCUUGUGCCAUUCUACUCACAGUCUUAUCAUAUUUCUGAAAUGCCUUAUCUACCGUGCUUUCCCCACUAACUAAAUCGUCUACAUAGAAACUUUC